UCGAACGGGACUAUAGAUUUAAGUCUUCGGAAGCGAUUAUAGUUAGUGGCGGACGGGUGAGUAACACGUGAGCAACCUGCCUUUCAGAGGGGGAUACCGUUGGGAAACUAACGUUAAUACCGCAUAACGUAUAUUGGUCGCAUGGCUGAUAUACCAAAGGAGCAAUCCGCUGAGAGAUGGGCUCGCGGCUGAUUAGAUAGUUGGUGGGGUAACGGCCUACCAAGUCGACGAUCAGUAGCCGGACUGAGAGGUUGAACGGCCACAUUGGGACUGAGACACGGCCCAGACUCCUACGGGAGGCAGCAGUGGGGAGUAUUGCGCAAUGGGGGAAACCCUGAACCGCAGCAACGCCGCGUGUGGGAAGAAGGUCUUCGGAUUGUAAACCAUUGUCUUCGGUGACGAUAAUGACGGUAGCCGAGGAGGAAGCUCCGGCUAACUACGUGCCAGCCGCCGC
rnacentral:rRNA from 1 species